CCUUUUACCUCCAGUCUUGCAGGAGGAUGUCCAAGUUCAUACUUCCUUUUUCUAUGGUAUGGCAUCCU